rnacentral:rRNA from 1 species
GUGGAAGGGCCGUGGCUUAACGGAUAAAAGCUACCCCGGGGAUAACAGGCUUAUCUUGCCCAAGAGUUCACAUCGACGGCAAGGUUUGGCACCUCGAUGUCGGCUCGUCGCAUCCUGGGGCUGAAGCAGGUCCCAAGGGUUGGGCUGUUCGCCCAUUAAAGCGGCACGCGAGCUGGGUUCAGACCGUCGUGAGACAGGUCGGUCUCUAUCCGUUGUGGGCGCUGGAGAUUUGAGGAGAGCUCUCCCUAGUACGAGAGGAUUGGGAGGGACGGACCUCUGGUGUGUCAGUUGUCGCGCCAGCGGCAGUGCUGGGUAGCCAUGUCCGGAUGAGAUAAACGCUGAAAGCAUCUAAGUGUGAAGCUCACUCCAAGAUGAGAUCUCCCACCGGCUUGACCGGGUAAGACCGCAAGUAGACUACUUGCUUGAUAGGCAGCAGGUGUAAGCACAGCAAUGUGUUGAGCUGAGCUGUACUAAUGGUCGAGGUCUUUGACCUACA